ACAAACAAACAAUGGUCUACUUUAAAUUUUCAAACAACCCAGUUGUUAGGAAAACUGAUCAGGAAGUUUUUGUAUGUUUACUAUAUGUAUGUUAUGCAAAUCAGUAUAGAAUAUAGGGUACCAGUAUUAGAGUUUACAUCAUAUUAAUACAUUUCUGAUUUACUGGUAUGUAAACUCUGCUUGCUUUUUCAGGGUAUGCGUGGCAUGUGGCUCUGGAGCAUAACAUUGUUUUCUUUCGCCUUGUUCCUAAGAGGGGAGGAACCACUCAGAUUAAAAGUGAGGCAUUUGAAAUUGCCAGCCAACUUUGCAGCUGAUUCUGGUGAAUUGCCAAAGAGAAUUGACAUAAAACUACCAUGGUCAAAAGCAGACCGAAAAGCAAAAGCUGGAUUAUUUAUUGGGUUUAUACUUCACAAAUUUAGUUAUUGCAACAUGGUGAACAUGGAAUAUAUUAUGGUGAAUACAUGUACAUGUAUGUGUUUUUUUCCUUACUCUCCAAAGGCAAAAUAUGUGAGCCAUAUUAACUAUAUUUUAGAACAUUAAUCAAUCCUGAAUUGUAAUAAAAAAAAGGCGCAGGACCACCAUUUAUUGCCAAGUUGAUUUACAACUAUAACCUAUUCCAAAAAAAUGUACUCCCUAACUUCUUUUCAACUUCCCAUGCUUACACUUUUAAAAUUUAGACUUCUCAAAACAGACUACAAUCUUUUAAUGGUACCAUCUUUAGCAGUCAUUAAUUCAACUGAGAAUAUUUUGCAAUCUUUUCAUUUCAGGGGUGACACUCACUCUUUGGGCUAACCCAUUGAACCCUGAGUUAUGUCCCGUAACCGCUCUUCUUGUGUGGUUGUUGAUAACAGGUUGGUGGAUUAUUUGUUAAGUUUAACCUUAUUCGCAGUAUUAAAAGUGGAACUAGAGUUCCUUUAACUGUGGUAAAUGAGCUCUUUUCUCUCUACGUUCUGAAGAUAUUUUGAGCAGCAUAUCUUGGCAUCUAUUUAAUUAAUAGCUCUUGAUUUUUUUUUGGGUCUCAAGCAGGUAUUAGGAAAGGUUUCAUUUUUUCCAAGGGUAGCUAAAAACAACCAUGCAGUUCAUGGGAACUCAGCUUGUGGUGUCACAACCUACAGGAAAACCUUUCUCCAGAUUUCCAAGACACUUUUUGAAAAGGAUUUUACUACUCAUAGCAUAAGAAGAUCAGCAGCCCAAUGGGCUGCCCGCUGUGGAGCUGAUGAUAGCACCAUCAAAAGGGCUGGCAGACAGUAUGUGAGACAGUAAUAUAUCAAACAUGAUAGACAGUGAAAUCAUCAAAAUCUAUGCUAAUUAGGACUGGGUAUCCAAACCUUCUUCAUAACUGUGAUUUUCUAUGUUUUAACUUGAUCAGGGUAGUACUAGUACAAUGAGACAGACAUCAGCAAAGUACUUUGUUCUUACAUGUGUAUAGUACAGGGGUAUUCCUGUGAUGUGUGAUGUAGCAGCUGAUUUUAGUUUCUGUGAAAUGCAAAUUUUAAGAAAUUUUUCUUUGUGAUCCAUGACCUGAAGGAUUUGUAUGACCUGGAAAAAGGAAAGUAUUUUAUCCACAAUUCUCUACUUUUAAUUAUCCGUUUGUGAACUGUGCCAGAGAACCCCUGUGUGACCGUCUUCUGAUCUUUUCUAAAGAAGAGCAAAAUAAUGUUGCUUGUAGGAUUGGCAAUAACUACAAAAAAAACAAACUUGCAAACUCAAGACAGUUUUGCCACCAACUGGGGGUUGAAGCACUCUUGAUAUCUUUGUGUUCAUUCUCAAUCCAUAAAUUGUUUUAAAAGGGGAAUUAUUCUUGUCACGUUUUUGUUGAAAAUGUGAAAACUUGUUAAUAAUUUAUAAAGGCUCUUUAAAGCACUUUAGAAUGAGAGUUAGCAAUGUAAAAAGUGAACGACGUUACCAUGACUCCAUGUCAUCAUUAUCAAGUUCGAAACACAUGAUGGAAUUGAGUAAAUAUAAAUAGUAAAAAUAGUGUGAUAAUAGUUGGGGAAUUAAAUGGGUGUUAAAGUAUUCAAUUGUAAUGUCAAGAGUUUGGCAUGACCUGAAUCUGACUGUGUGUUAAGUUUUGGUUUUAUGUUCCUAAUGAACAGCAUCUGUUAGAUCAAGCAGUCAAAUUUUGUGCAUCAUUUCUUUAACACUUUAAAUGUUGUAAGUAUUUUGAACUUGAUAAUGAUGACAUGGAGUCAUCGGAAUGUCAUUCACGUUUUACAUUGCUAAUUUUCAUUCUAAAUUAUUUCUUAACUUAUUUUGUAUUUGAUCAGGAAGUCCAAUAGUUUUGAGUUGUACACUCAAGAUGCUAGGGCUGAACUAAUCAAAGAACAGCAUGAUGGGACCCCAGCAUUGGACCACCAACUCUGGAUGUUUAAACCUCUUAGAUAAUAAAUUAGUAUAAUCCAGAGACCAUUCAUUCACAACUAAAUGUUCAUUGAAAGUGUUCAUUAUUUAUUGUUUUGGUUUUGAUUUCUGUAAUUUUACCUGAGUGCAUGUGCCUUGGGGGCACUCUAUCAAAAAUUCAACCUGCCUUGCAAUGCCAAUUGGAUUAUAAGUUUGCCUUACAGUCUGUCACUGGAUUGUACUAAUUAAGGUUAUAUUCCUUUUUGUCCAACACCAUUUGGUUGAACUGCAAAGAAAUAGAUAUCUCAAACUGAAGAACUAG
rnacentral:lncRNA from 1 species